UAAAUAAAUAAAUAAAUCAGAGUUUAGUCCUCAGAAGGAAGAACAAAGGAUAAGGGAGGAAAGGAGGUCAAAGACUACCUAUACCGGUUUUCCUUGAACAAAUGCCAUGAGGCAAGUUUGAAUUUUUAGGCCAUCUAUUCAGGUUGAAAAGAACCCAUAUUUUUAUGUAUAUAUUUUUUUUAACUCAACAUCAUCUCUGCUUCAAGUAUCUAUUCAAGUUGUGGCAGAAAACAACAUUGCUAGGUUCCAGGUAAACAAGGACAGCAUGUCUUGUUAAAUACAAUCAUUUCAGGAUCCUCCCCAAGUCUCACCCUGCAGGGCUGCUAAGUGCAGGGAGACAAUGCAGUGUUGGGACAUUGGAGGCAGGACUAUGGAGCUGUCUGUGCACAAGGGCACCCCCGAAGACAUGGUUGUCCUCAUGAGAACCUUGGUUGUGCGGCCCGUCCACUUCCCACUGACUGCCCUAUGAUCUAAGAAAAAUAUGGCAUUCUACAUCCUGUAAUCCAAAAUAAAAUCCGCAUUUAAUAAAACAGCAUUGAUUAUAAAAUAAAUGUAAAGAACUCCAACAGGCCGGGAGCAGUGGCUCACACCUGUAAUCCUAGCACUUUGGGAAGCCAAGGCAGGAGGAUCACUUGAGCUAAGGAGUUCGAGACCAGCCUGGGCAAUAUAGUAUUAUUUAUAUAUACUAUUAUAUAUUAUAUCUAAUAUAUAUAACUGUUAAAAUAUAUAUUUUAAAAAUAUAACUCCAACAAGUCCUGAUUUUUCUCAUGCUUUGUGUUUAGUAUCAGAUUCCUUCAAAAAGGAAUGCCCUUUCUCAUUCAGCCCUGGCACUGAAGACACGAUUCAUACCCACCUGUUAAGGGGCAAAGGAACCAAGCUGCAGAGAGUCCACAGGGUUACUCAUGGUCAUUUUCAAUGACUGACACUUGGUCCACUGUGUUAAAGUACAGGAUUCACACAAGACCAAGCAGCUAUUUCGCUGGGAGAGAUCGCUGAUGCAGCCAGAGGUGAUGGUUGGGAAGGCAGAAGACUGGUUCCUGGUGGAGCCCAGUUUUUGUCUUCCUGGUAACCAGGCUGGAUCCAGAGAGCUGCAGCAAGUUAAAUGUAUUUAGCUAGAUAUUGCCGUGUAAUAAACCACCCUGGAACUCCAUGGCAUGCACUACUAAGCAUUUAUCACGCUCCCAGGCUUACAGAUCAGCUGGGGCUUUCAUACAUUGGACGGGGGAGGCUGGAGUAGGCUCUGCUCUACUUUCUCUUGCUCUUCAGAAGCCAUGGGCUAACCAGGGCAUAUUCUUCCCAUGUGGUGGCAGAAGCCAGAGAGGGGUGAGCAGAAACACGAGAGUUUGGGUUCAGGCUCGGAACUGGUACUGAGUGACUCCCACCCACCGGGUACUUUGGAUGAGAACUGCACCCAGGCCAGCAUUAGCAGCUAGCUCAGCGGCCAGCACCCUCUGCUGUUGGCUCUCCUGUGGCUGCACCCCUGACAGCCAGGUCUGAUGACCCAGAUGGCAACCACUGCAACUGGAGUGGUGUGGGCUCUGCUGUCGGGCACACACUGAGUCACAGUGAGAACCUCCUCCACCGUCUCUACAAAAAAUUUUAAAAAUUAACCAGCUGUGGUGGUGCACGCCUGUAGUUCCAGCCACUCGAGAGGCUCUUGAGAGCUACUUGAGAGUAGUUCCAGCUACUUGAGCGGAUCGCUUGAGCCCAAGUCAAGGUUGCAGUGAGCCAUGAUAUACUCCAGCCUGGGCAACAGAGUGAAGACCCUGUAUCAAACAAACAAAACAAAACAAAAAACCAGCCCUCGGCCUACUUUUGGCAGAUUUUCUUAGAGCUGACUCAGUAGCACAAGGGUGAGUGUUGGGACUGAGAUCCACAGGCUGGCUGUGAGACUGAGCAUAUCCCUUUACGAUUCUGGAGCUACACUUUGGGAGCUCUAAAAUAAGAGGAAGUGCACCAAAUAGUUUCUUAGGUUCCUCCAGUGCGCACGCGCGCGCAUGCACACACACACACACACACACACACACACACACACACACACAAUCUAUGGGCUUAUGUUCUACAGAAUGCCUCGAGUAGCUGGAGAGGCUGGGGGAUGGCGUUCUCCACUCCAUCAGUCUCACAGACAUUCUGUGCACCCCAUGGAGACAUGGGGUCCCUAUAUUCCCCACUAAGACCAGGAGUUACAAUGCCCAGAGAUCAUGUUCUGUAAAUAUUCCUUGACUGAGAAAGGGUUAAACUAUCUAAUGCCUCCAAAAUACUUCAAUGCUGAAGAACAGCGCUUGUAUAGCCCAAGUUCUUCUCUGCCUGAAUCAACUUGUCCUCUAAAGCUUUGAUGCCAGACUGGGAUUCUGCUUAGGUAAGAGGCCUGCAGUACUGGGCUGACUCUUCACAAUAGAAAUACAAAUCAGAAACAGAUCACUUGAGGCACCCAUUAGAAAUGCACACGCCCAGGCUGCUGGGCAAACCACAAAUCUGCUAACGCAGAAACUCUGAUGGUGUGGGGCACAAGGACCUACACUUUCAGUAAGUGGCAGGGGCUGGGUGAUUAUUUGAGCCUCCUCUCAUUUCCCCUCAAAUCACCUUAGCAGGGGUCCUGUGAAAUAGGGUUCAUCAACAGGAACAGUGCCUGCGUCCUGGAGAUGGCAGGAGCCCACAUUUCUAAAGGACAGGAGCAUGUGACUCUUAGCAGGAGGCAGACCUCAAGGCUGUCUCACUGCAGAGGCAGAAAUGUGAAUAACCAGUGAAGUGGUUCUCAAAGUCCAGUCCCUGCGCAGGCAACCGCAGCAUCACCUGGGACCUUUUUGGAAACGCAAAUUCUCAAGCCCCAUCCCAGAGCUACCCAGAGUCAGAAACGCUGCGGGUGGGGCUGGUACCUGUUUUGACAAGACUCCAGGUGACUCUGAUACCUGCUAAAGUGGGAGAACCACUGACACAUGGAAGUGACAGCCAGGGAGGUGGGCGCCUGAGACCUCAGCACAUCACUCCAAAGGCCUCUCAACAUAUCACUCCAACACUGAAGACACCUAAGAGAUUCCUGCAAGUUUUUGUCAGAAAAUUCUUCUCCCCUUCAUGACUUUUGGCUUCCCCAGAGUAGCCCUGAGGGCCAACUCCCUUCCUGCUCCUUCUGUGGCCACUUCUUCCUUGAGAGUUGGUCUCUCCCACAGACAGCAUUUCCCUGGAGAUGCAGCACUGGGGACAUGAAGCCCAAAUUGGACUUUAGAGCAGAAGCUCUUGAAGUAAAAACUUCAGGAGGGAAUAUAAUAAAAACCUGAGUUAAAAAUCCUAGGCUUGUAGUCCCAGCUACUCGGGAGGCUGAGGCAGGAGAACUGCUUGAACCAGAGAGGCAGAAGUUGCAGUGAGCCGAGAUCGUGCCACUGAACUCCAGCCUGGGCGACAGUGAGAUUCUGUCUCAAAAAAAAAAAAAAAUCCUAGGCAUUCCUCUGAGUCAUUAAAGAACAGUGGGCCAUCAGCUGACAAGGGUGGGGAAAUGGCUGAUCCUGUGCCACUUCCUGCAGGUGGGCCCCAAAUGAGAAGGAAUGUGAGUGUGCUGGUGCAAUGAGCACCGGGACAGCCCUCACCCUGCCCCUGCUCAAACACCACCUUGAAUGUGGGCUUUCUCUUUAUUAUUAAUGAAGGCUUACCUCCCCUCUACUAAUGACCGUUGGGACAAUUAUGUGGGAUCCUUAAGCAAAUACCCAAAUGG
rnacentral:lncRNA from 10 species